AGCAGAGCCCUGAUCCCGUGCCAGGCUCUGAAGCAGUUCCCUGCUUGUGAGAGCCCUGGAGCACGCGAGGCAGCAGGGAGAGCAGGGGCUGUGGCAGGAGCUGGGACAGAGCCCGCGCCGGACGCUGCUCGGGCUCAGCCCGCGGGCUUCGCUCCCCUUUCCAAGGGACCGUUGCAGGAACCUGAUGAAGAUCCCGACCCAGGGACAGCAGCUGGAGUGUGGGAGGUGAGCGCUGGACUACUGCAUUGCCAUCUUGGGCAGGAAGUGAGCCCGUGAGAGUUCUCUGCCAAGGGGUCCUGCCAUGCAGGAAUUUUUAUCAGGACUCUUCUCAGCCAGUUCCUUGACUUAGUGGAAGCUGCUACUGGACUGGACAGCACAUCCUGGGCCGCCUUUAUAGGUCCUGAUUUGGGCCUGCCAUUUGCAGCACUUGGAACAAAGGAACACGGACCCCCUUUUGUAUCCAAAGGAGGUCGCUUCAUUGUAAAAAUUGGCCGAUGUUUAUACCUUUAAUCUCAACCUGACAUAAUGGAAACCAAACCGAGGCCUAACAGAACUUAAAGGAAGGAGGGCACCCAUUGGCUGGCUCAGCUGCAGUGCUGCUAUCAAUGUGUCCUGCUGUCCAAUCAGCUUCAUGCUCAUACACUGGCCACGUCUCCUACCAUCCAAUCAGCUUCAUGCCCAUAAACUCUCCACGUGUCCUACCAUCCAAUCAGCUUCCUGCUCAUGCACUGGCCACGUGUUCCUGCAGCCAAUCAGGAUCUCACUCCCAUCUGACUCGCCCCUCGCUCCUGACUGCCUCUCAGCCCUCAGCCGAGUCCCACCCGCCCGGCCUGCAGCUCUGCCUUUCCCUCAGGGCCUUCUGGUGAGCGCAGGCCUUAGCGACUUUAACAAUCAUAACCCCAUGUCCUACAGUCAGUUGUACCACAUUGGAAUCAAACAACCCCAGAAAUCCAAAUCUGAUUGAGGGGUAGUUACAAAAUGACAAAGAUCAGCACAGCCUGGCCUGUGGCUGAAGCUGCUGUGCAGAGUUGCUGUUCAGCUCCUCCUGAGGGUGGCCAGGCUCAGGAUGGAGGUGGUCAAGGGCUUCCUCAGACAGUGAUGCUGGGGAACCAGAGGAUGGAUGGCCCCAUUCUGCAGAAGAGCAGCAGAACUCCCUAAUUUCUGUGCAAUUAAAUGGUCCAAGCAUUUCCCAUCUGGUGAUGGGGAUUUCCAUACACCAUGUACUUUCUGGAUACAGGCACAGGAGUUCAGUGGAGUUCAUUGUCUACUCAGCACUUUACUCACAGGGAUUCAAUUCUGGAAUUUAAGAAUGUGACAAAUUCCCACUGAAAGGAUAAGGGAAUGUUGCUGUCCCUCCCCAGCUCUGCAGCCCUACCUGGUGUCCCUUCCCAUCAGCUGGGAAUGCAGGGCCGGAUCUGCCGGAGAGAAGGGGAAGGAUGCUGCAUGUGAUCCCAACCCCUCUCCUGCCAUCCAGAGGCACCAGACCUGCAGGGAUUUGGGAAAUCACUGCCACCCCAUGCUGGGUGUGUCCCCAGGGAUUAAGGUGUCCCAUGCUUUGCAGGCAAGAGCUCCCUGAAAGCACCAUGAAACUCAUCUGCUGAGCCAGAGGAGAUGGAGUUCAUUCCCUGGGGCCGAGGCCAUGAGGGUCAUUCCAUGGGGAAUAGAGCUGGGGAACAGCACUGAGCCCAGCUGCACUGCUUGGAGCCUUGUGGAUCCAGGAGGGAGGAGGAAAGCCAUGCUCCAAUGUGCUCCCUGCAGAGCAUCCCACAACAAUCACCCAAGGCAAUGGCCGUGCUCCCUUCUCCUGCAGGAAUACACCAUUAUGGAGAGGGUGAUCCCAUGGAUGUUUAUUAAUCAUGAAUUCCUGAAUAAUACCAAGGAAAACCCUCAGCCUCUGUGCUGAGGUCCUCCAGCAGAGCAGUGGAAGGGAUCAACAGGCUCAGACUGCUGUGUUCCUGGUGUCAUCAUUGCUGUGGGCUGUUUUUUCUUUCUGCUACUCAAAGACCCUCUGAAGGUAGAGACGGAGGGACCCCACUGUACAGAGCCUCCAGCAGCUCGCCAUGGAGCAGACCCUCCAGGAGCUCCCUGCCAAGAAGUAGAUGAAGGGUUUGAUGCUGCUGUUGAUGCUGGCGAGCAGGAAAACAGCCUGGGAGGGCACAUCGAUGUAACCGAGCUGCUGCAGGAAAUUGCAGAAGCUGAGGAGAAGAGUUAACAGCACAGUGACGUGGAUAACCACGUCACGCCUCUUGGGCUGCUGCUGCUGGGAGCCCCACUUGGCCCUAAUGAAGUCAAUUGUGCCAGAAAUGGCCACGGGUGCAGCAAAGAAGA